UGGACACUGUCAAAGUACAUCCACCAAAGUGCUUGUUUUUGCCGCUGACAGGUUAUGGAUAGGAUUCCUACAGAGACAGAGCUUUUUAUUAAAGAGUUGGAUCAUUUUUGUUUAACCACAAACAUCACUUUAUAUCACCACCAGACUCCUUUGAGAAAAACAGGAAUUUUAGAACACAGGAGCUGCUGGAACUCGACUGGACAACCAGGGCUAUCACAAUAUGUAUGCUGAAAUGCUGUCACAGGAAGGGAUUCAUAGUUAUAUGACUAUAUAAACAAAAGAAGAAACUAAACGGGGUGUACCCUGCCUCUCGCCCAGUGUCAGCUGGGAUAGGCUCCAGCCCCCCUGCGGAGUGGAAUGAUGGGUGUGGCCCAGUCACUGAUCAUCACAGGCUCCAAAACCCAUUCUUGAUCAGUGUCCAGGUCAGGUUCCAUCUUGGGUCUGAUAGCAUAUGGCCUUGUUUUUCCAAUAUGGCCUACAGAUGGAGGUUGUGACCUCUCAGCCUGCAAAAACAGACCUGACCCCUGUACUAAGGAUGGCAAUCAACAUACAGACAAGCCACGCCGAGUAAGGGUGCAGAGAUCAUGGACUAAAGCAGAGAGGAGAGCAGUGCACAAUCACUUUUGCAGUUUUACUGCACAGCGCCGAGUUCCUGGCAAAGACCACUGCAUUUGAUGCAUAAGAAAAGAGAAGGUUUUGAGUGAAAGAACCUGGUGCAAGUAAAGAGCUUUGUGAAAAACACAGUUAUUGCUUUGAAGCACGAAUCUGCUUUAACUCAAAUUUGGAAGAUCUACGUUGUACAAUGUACAGUAGGCUAUACUAACAGAGUGGGUGACAUAUUUCACAUAGAUCAGAAUUACUUAUAUGCACAAGUCAAGGCUUGGGAGACUGCCAGGAGUCUCUCAGGGAGCCCUGUUGGAAGCUUUAAGCUCAAUGAGCAAUAUUCCAAAAAACCAAAAAACAAAAGGACAGCAUCAGAUCAACACAAAGCAUUUUUAUUCAUCUGCACUUAUCACAGACUUCAUACUAAUGUCAAACCACAAGUGAUAGACAUGUACAUGCCCACCACUUACAUAAAAGUCACUGACUUAACAAUUGUUCUCUCUCUCUCUCUCUCUCUGUCUCUCUCCAGGUUGUUGUGUCUCUGGAGCUAUGGAGUCUCAUUGGCAGCUGUGUGUCACCUGCUGCUCUGAUCAUUAGCCCCAUCAUUAUGGAUCUACUACUAUUUGUAUUAUCUGAAGUGUUAUUAUACUGCCACUCUCGCUGCUCUCAUAUCAUUACUAUAUGACACUGCUGAUGAGACGAUGGUAGCAGGCGUCAUCCAGAAUGACGAUGACUGGGCCUAUAGAGAGGAGGUGGAACAGCUGGAGUACUGGUGCAGGAGGAACAACCUGAUCCUGAACGUCAAAAAACAAAAGAGAUCAUUUUGACUUAAGGAAGAACCAGCCUGGCCACUCGCCACUGCUGAUCAACAACAUGGCGGUAAAGGUAGUGGGAAGCACAAAGUUCCUAGGGGUCCACAUCACAGAUACCCUAAACUGGACUGUAAACACUGGGUCCCUGGCAAAGCGUGCGCAGCAGUGUUUGCACUUUCUCUGGAGGAUCACACCUUUCCCCUCCCAUCCUCAUCACUUUUUACAGAAGCACUGUAGAGAGCAUUAUGACCAACUGCAUCUAUGGCUGCGGACUGGAAGUGCCUACAGAGAGUGGUUAGGACAGCAGAGAAGAUCACUGGGACUUCUCUUCCCUCCAUCCCAGAGAUUGGACAGAAACACUGUCUGUCACGGGCUAUCAACACCACCAGAGACUGCACACACCCCCACCAUAGACUGUUCUCUGUGAUGGCCUCUGGCAGGAGGUAUCCGAGCCUGAAAAGCAGAACAGCCAGGUUCUGCAACAGCUUUAUCCCACAGGCCAUAAGACUGCUAAGUCCCUAUAGACAGUCUCUUAAACACUUGCACACUUACACACCAUACUGUCUGUUCUAGUACUGCAGGCAUAAUACACCAAGAAUGAUCAUAAAGCAACACAGUCUCCUAUUAUAUAAAUUAGAAGACAUCCAAGUCAUCAGACUAACAUAUAACUUAUAGCCCAGGUCCUACAUUUAAAGUCCCUUUACUGUAAAAAUCUGCAGUACUCUACAUUAACACAGAGUUGGUGGUUGGUGGGGUGCUUUGGCUCUGAAAUAACAAACACUUCUUUCCAAUUCACAACAGUUUUCCUGUAUAGAAUUAGACAUCCAAGUCAUCAGGGUCACACAGUAUACUACCAGGUCCUACGUGGAGGUCUCUUUAAUGUCAGAAUUUGCAUUGCACAAUCUUAUUCCACACCUGUACAAAUUCUACAAAACACUUACUGUUGAGGUAAUUUGCACAAAAGAGUCAGCUCAGUUCUAAUGACAACCUAUUCAGUGACUCUUAGGUGCUGGACCAAUAAUCAUAUUAAAGUGGCUGAGAUUUUACUUUCCCCUCUCCUUUCACUGCACUGUAAAUUCUAACAAGUUGAGUUUACUUAAAAAAA